UUUUAACGCUGAGGUGUGAUGACGAGGCACUACGGUGCUGAAGUAACAAAUGCCCUGCUUCCAGGAAAAGCCUCUAAGCAUCAGGUAACACGAAAUCGUACCCCAAACCGACACAGGUGGUCAGGUAGAGAAUACCAAGGCGCUUGAGAGAACUCGGGUGAAGGAACUAGGCAAAAUGGUGCCGUAACUUCGGGAGAAGGCACGCUGAUAUGUAGGUGAAGCCCCUGCGGGUGGAGCUGAAAUCAGUCGAAGAUACCAGCUGGCUGCAACUGUUUAUUAAAAACACAGCACUGUGCAAACACGAAAGUGGACGUAUACGGUGUGACGCCUGCCCGGUGCCGGAAGGUUAAUUGAUGGGGUUAGCGGCAACGCGAAGCUCUUGAUCGAAGCCCCGGUAAACGGCGGCCGUAACUAUAACGGUCCUAAGGUAGCGAAAUUCCUUGUCGGGUAAGUUCCGACCUGCACGAAUGGCGUAAUGAUGGCCAGGCUGUCUCCACCCGAGACUCAGUGAAAUUGAACUCGCUGUGAAGAUGCAGUGUACCCGCGGCAAGACGGAAAGACCCCGUGAACCUUUACUAUAGCUUGACACUGAACACUGGUCCUUGAUGUGUAGGAUAGGUGGGAGGCUUUGAAGCGUGGACGCCAGUCUGCGUGGAGCCAUCCUUGAAAUACCACCCUUUAAUGGCUGGUGUUCUAACGUUGACCCGUUACCCGGGUUGCGGACAGUGUCUGGUGGGUAGUUUGACUGGGGCGGUCUCCUCCCAAAGAGUAACGGAGGAGCACGAAGGUUAGCUAAUCCUGGUCGGACAUCAGGAGGUUAGUGCAAUGGCAUAAGCUAGCUUGACUGCGAGAGUGACGGCUCGAGCAGGUGCGAAAGCAGGUCAUAGUGAUCCGGUGGUUCUGAAUGGAAGGGCCAUCGCUCAACGGAUAAAAGGUACUCCGGGGAUAACAGGCUGAUACCGCCCAAGAGUUCAUAUCGACGGCGGUGUUUGGCACCUCGAUGUCGGCUCAUCACAUCCUGGGGCUGAAGUAGGUCCCAAGGGUAUGGCUGUUCGCCAUUUAAAGUGGUACGCGAGCUGGGUUUAGAACGUCGUGAGACAGUUCGGUCCCUAUCUGCCGUGGGCGCUGGAGAAUUGAGGGGGGCUGCUCCUAGUACGAGAGGACCGGAGUGGACGCAUCACUGGUGUUCGGGUUGUCAUGCCAAUGGCACUGCCCGGUAGCUAAAUGCGGAAGAGAUAAGUGCUGAAAGCAUCUAAGCACGAAACUUGCCCCGAGAUGAGUUCUCCCUGA
rnacentral:rRNA from 1 species